CCUACGGGAGGCAGCAGUGGGGAAUAUUGCGCAAUGGGGGGAACCCUGAUGCAGCGACGCCGCGUGAGUGAAGAAGUAAUUCGUUAUGUAAAGCUCUAUCAGCAGGGAAGAAAGUGACGGUACCUGAGUAAGAAGCACCGGCUAACUACGUGCCCGCAGCCGCGGGAAUAAGUAGGGGGCAAGCGUUAGCCGGAUUUGCUGGGUGGAAAGGGAGCGUAGACGGCAGUGCAAGUCUGGAGUGAAAGGCGGGGGCUCAACCCCCGGACUGCUCUGGAAACUGUACGGCUGGAGUGCAGGAGAGGUAAGUGGAAUUCCUAGUGUAGCGGUGAAAUGCGUAGAUAUUAGGAGGAACACCAGUGGCGAAGGCGGCUUACUGGAUUGUAACUGACGUUGAGGCUCGAAAGCGUGGGGAGCAAACAGGAUUAGAUACCCUUGUAGUC
rnacentral:rRNA from 1 species